rnacentral:lncRNA from 1 species
CCUCGCCUCUGGGGAUGCCCAUGCCUGAGGUCAGCUCAGGCCGCAGUCGGCCGGGUGCGAGGCAGCCCUGGCCCGCUCCUUCCGCCCGGCCAGCGGACCGGUCCUCAGGGCUGUGGAGCACGGUGCGCGCUUGGUAAGAAGAUUAACACCAAGCACUGGGAUGGGCCACGAGCUUCGGGAACUGAACCCGCGGCCUCCUUAGCGCGGCCACGAAUUUCCCUGCUCGGCCUCAACCGCGCCCAGCUCAGCCGCGCAGCCGCUGCUUCUCUCAGAUCAGGGAAAUCACCUGGACAGUCUGCACCGAGCACCUGAGCGCGCAGCGUCCGGGAAAGCCGCAGUUUAACCUUCGCGUCUUCGUUGUCUGGGGGCGCAGAGGCCCAAGGCCUCCUGCCUCCCGCAGGGCCACACACAGCACCCCGUUUCCAGCACAUGCGCCAGACUCCGAGAGGACGCCUGUCCCCGUGGACGCUGCCUCUUCUUGUUCUCUGAGGCCUGGGGAGGAGAGAGAGGUGGCUCCCAGGGCAGGCGAAAGAGAAGAAAAGAAGAAGAAGAAGAAGAAGAGAGAAG